rnacentral:rRNA from 1 species
UCGAAAUAGCUUUAGGGCUAGCCUCAUGGAUCAUUGAUGGGGGUAGAGCACUGAAUGUGCGCGGGGGCCACAAAGCCUACCAAACGCUAUCAAACUUCGAAUACCAUACAAUGCAGACCAUGGGAGUCAGUCCGCGAGAGAUAAGUUCCGCGGGCAAAAGGGGAACACCCCAGAUCAACCGCUAAGGUCCCCAAGUUCACGUUAAGUGGAGAAGGAUGUGGAAUUGCACAGACAACCAGGAUGUUGGCUCAGAAGCAGCCACACAUUUAAAGAGUGCGUAAUAGCUCACUGGUCGAGUGGUUGUGCGCCGAAGAUGUCCGGGGCUAAACGUGACACCGAAGCGAUGGGUGCAUCUGAAAGGAUGCGCGGUAGAGGAGCAAUGUGCAGAGGCAGAAGCCGUAUCGAGAGGCACGGUGGACACUGCACAAGAGAGAAUGCCGGUAUGAGUAGCGAGAGGCAUGCGAGAAACAUGCCCGUCGAAAGCCCAAGGUUUCCUGGGGAAGGUUCAUCCGCCCAGGGUAAGUCGGGGCCUAAGCCGAGGACGGAAGUCGUAGGCGAUGGACAGCAGGUGUAGAUUCCUGCACUACCGAUGGAAUGAAGCAGUGACACAGAAGGAUAACUCGAGCAGGGUGAUGGUCAACCCUGUGCAAGCAUCAAGGUUGGGUUGUAGUGAAGUACGCAACCCUAUAAGCUGAGGUGUGAUGCGGACCGAAAUUUCAGUAGGGAAGCGAGUGAGUUCACGCUGGCGAGAAAAGCUGCUAGUACAUCCAAAGGUACCCGUACCGGAAACCGACGCAGGUGGGCGAGGAGAGAAUCCUGAGACGAACGGGAGAACCCUUGUUAAGGAACUCGGCAAAAUGACCCCGUAACUUCGGGAUAAGGGGUGCCUGCGAGAGCAGGCCGCAGAGAAUAGUCACAAGCGACUGUUUAGCAAAAACACAGGUAUCUGCGAAAGCGAGAGCUGACGUAUAGGUGCUGACACCUGCCCGGUGCUGGAAGGUUAAGGGAACAUGUUAGAGCAAUCGAAGCAUCGAACCGAAGCCCCAGUAAACGGCGGCCGUAACUAUAACGGUCCUAAGGUAGCGAAAUUCCUUGUCGGGUAAGUUCCGACCCGCACGAAUGGUGUAACGACUUGUGAGCUGUCUCAACAGGGGGCCCGGUGAAAUUGAAGUAUGGGUGAAGAUGCCCAUUACCCGCGACUGGACGGAAAGACCCCGUAGAGCUUUACUGCAGCCUGAUAUUGAGUUUCGGUAACUGAUGCACAGGAUAGGUGGGAGUCUGAGAGACACGGGUUUCGGCUCGUGUGGAGACGGUGUUGGGAUACCACUCUUCGGUUACUGAAAUUCUAACAUAGCUCUGUGAAACCAGAGGAUGGACAGUGUCAGGUGGACAGUUUGACUGGGGCGGUCGCCUCCGAAAGAGUAACGGAGGCGCCCAAAGGUACCCUCAGAAUGGAUGGAAACCAUUCGAAGAGCGCAAAGGCAGAAGGGUGCCUGACUGCGAGAUUGACAAAUCGAGCAGAGACGAAAGUCGGGCUUAGUGAUC